rfam:Picea glauca, whole genome shotgun sequence.
UCUGGUGUCCCAGGCGUAGAGGAACCACACCAACCCAUCCCGAACUUGGUGGUUAAACUCUACUGCGGUGAGGAUACUAUAGGGGAAGCCCUGCAGGAAAAUAUCUCGAUGCGAGGA